AUGCGGCCGGGCUCGUCCCCGCGCGCCCCAGAGUGUGGAGCGCCCGCGCUCCCCCGACCCCAACUUGACCGUCUCCCGGCUCGCCCAGCCCCCUCCCGGGGUAGGGGCGCCCCCUCCCUCCGGUGGCCGGCGAAGGAAGUCGGUCCACGGCCGCAGAUCCCGGCAACUUGCGAGCCGGGAAAAGUUUGCGGCGCCUCCGCGGGGCGGCGCGACGCGGCCCGUACCUCGCGUCCGCGGUCAUCGCGGGUGACUUUCUCGACUCGUCGUCAGCCGGGGCCGCUGCGCGGCCGGCGGGGACUGCGGGGCGGGCCGGAGUCCGUCCGAGGGCUCCCGCACCUCGGGCUGCGGUCCUGGAGAGUUGCUGUAGAAGAAGGAAAAGAGAAGAAGACAACACAACACAGGAGGGGAUAAGUACCUCUGGACACAAUGGAAGUAGUAGUUGUUGAGCAGAGGGAAAGGGAUAGGAGAAGGAUGUGGACUGCAGUGCGGCAGUGCCAG
rnacentral:lncRNA from 1 species